rnacentral:lncRNA from 1 species
CCCCUUGCGGCAGGGCGCCGCGGCGACCAGGGGCUGGAGCGCAGCCCCCUCCUCGCUCACUUUGACAGGUUGCAAGGAAGAAGGUCCCCGACCCUGGGAAACCUCCCCGGAUAAAACGCUUUCCCUUCCCCGCUGCUCUCUUGCCAGCCGCCUUGCAGCCGAUCCACCUCUUGGCGCCGUAGAGCUGAAGACGCUCUGCAAAAAAUGAUCAGCAUAUGCUCAUCCUGGGUUUCUCUUUAUUCCAGAGGGACGCGGAUGUGAGAAUAGGAGGUGAAGUUUGUGAUCCACUACACCGGCUCCCAGUCCCUGCAAUGUACACAGGGAGACCAAACAGCCCAACUGAUGCGUGAGUGGUAGGGAUCCCCACUAUCCAGGAAGGAGCGGCCCGUUAGCAUCAACGAGAAGCCUGGAGGGGUUUUUCCCUGCCCAGCUCCUGUGUUGCUCAGGGAAUUAUUGUUUUGAUUUGUGUUACGAAAGUGGCUAAAAUCACCAGAGAAGAGAGCCCCAGGUUGGUGCGCGUGUCUCUAGGUGGAUGCUCUCCCUCAAUAGCCACAAGGCAGACGGUGCCGCAUCUCUAGGGAGCCCAGGUGAAGAACACAGGCUGGAAGAAAAAAGAAGAAAAGAAAGAAAGAAAGUCCUCAAAGCCAGGAAAUCUGUGUUAAUUGCUUAUGAAUGUCUCUGUCUAAAAAAUUAUCGAAUUGAUGUUGUCGUGCUUUUUUUUGACAGCCUGUCUGUUACAUUUUUUUAAAAUAUUCAUGCACCGAAAUCUAAUUACUAGGCAAAUUUAAUGAUAAUGAAAUGAAGGCACUUUAGCAGAAAGCACAGGGCCUUGUUAAUGUUUUCUCAGCCUCUGUCUUGUUCAUAUUUUUAAAUUAUUUUUUUUUUACAACUGCCUUUCUUGCAUUUAAAAAAAAAAAGGGUUGCCGAAAAUAAAACUUGGAUUGCUGAAAA